UACACAUGCAAGUCGAGCGGUUGAGGGAAGCUUGCUUCCUGAUUCAGCGGCGGACGGGUGAGUAAUGCCUAGGAAUCUGCCUGGUAGUGGGGGACAACGUUUCGAAAGGAACGCUAAUACCGCAUACGUCCUACGGGAGAAAGCAGGGGACCUUCGGGCCUUGCGCUAUCAGAUGAGCCUAGGUCGGAUUAGCUAGUUGGUGAGGUAAUGGCUCACCAAGGCGACGAUCCGUAACUGGUCUGAGAGGAUGAUCAGUCACACUGGAACUGAGAGACGGUCCAGACUCCUACGGGAGGCAGCAGUGGGGAAUAUUGGACAAUGGGCGAAAGCCUGAUCCAGCCAUGCCGCGUGUGUGAAGAAGGUCUUCGGAUUGUAAAGCACUUUAAGUUGGGAGGAAGGGCAGUCAGCGAAUACCUUGCUGUCUUGACGUUACCGACAGAAUAAGCACCGGCUAACUCUGUGCCAGCAGCCGCGGUAAU
rnacentral:rRNA from 1 species